rfam:Salmo salar isolate Sally breed double haploid chromosome ssa24, whole genome shotgun sequence.
AAUGCACCAUUUUGUAAGUCGCUUUUGGAUAAGAGCGUCUGCUAAAUGACUUAAA